AUGUCACGCCCCGGAUCCGGAUCCGUGACACGGCCGUGCUAUUGCCGACUACUGCCCACAAUAGCACGCAGCCUCGUACAUGGUCAACAGGUAGUCAAAAGCAGUGUAACUUGUAUAUAUCAAAAUGAGGUAUUACAACCCACUGGUUCAUAUAAAGUACAGAGCUUCUACAUAGUUUAUAUACACAAAAGUUUAUUUAUAUCAUCCCCAAAAAUAAAGAAGCCUUGUUGCAAAAGAAAAAUGCUUCUGGCAGCUGUCACUGGUGGUGAUCUAAAAAAAACGUAAAUGAACAGGCAUGAGCUACACGGUUCAGUAAG
rnacentral:lncRNA from 1 species